rnacentral:rRNA from 1 species
AGAUGCCUAACCUGCAAGUCGCACGAGAAGUGGAGCCUCCAUGAGUAAAGUGGCGUACGGGUGAGUAACACGUGACUAACCUACCUUCGAGUGGGGAAUAACUUCGGGAAACCGAGGCUAAUACCGCAUAACAUCUUUUGGUUGAGAUACCGAUUGAUCAAACCAGUAAUGGGCUUGAAGAGGGGGUCGCGGCUGAUUAGCUAGUUGGUGGGGUAACGGCCCACCAAGGCGAUGAUCAGUAGCCGGCCUGAGAGGGCGCACGGCCACACUGGAACUGAAACACGGUCCAGACUCCUACGGGAGGCAGCAGUGGGGAAUUUUGCGCAAUGGGGGAAACCCUGACGCAGCAACGCCGCGUGGAGGAUGAAGUCCCUUGGGACGUAAACUCCUUUCGAUCGGGACGAUUAUGACGGUACCGGAAGAAGAAGCCCCGGCUAACUUCGUGCCAGCAGCCGCGGUAAUACGAGGGGGGCAAGCGUUGUUCGGAAUUAUUGGGCGUAAAGGGCGCGUAGGCGGUGCGGUAAGUCUGAUGUGAAAUCUCCGGGCUCAACUCGGAGUCUGCAUCAGAAACUGCCGUGCUCGAGUGUGGGAUAGGUGAAUGGAAUUCCCGGUGUAGCGGUGAAAUGCGUAUAUAUCGGGGAGGAACACCUGUGGCGAAAGCGGCUCACUGGAACCACAACUGACGCAGAUGCGCGAAAACUAAGGGAAGCAACAGGAUUAUAUACCCUGGUAUUCCUAGCCCCUAAACAACGAUCCCUUUGGUGUGAUAGAGUACCCAAAUCCUACCGCGCCAGGAACAUAAGCGUUUAACCGUACCGGCCAGGGGGAAGAAAGUCCGCAAGGGCUGAAUCCCAAAUGGAUCUUAAAGGGAGGCCGUCACCAGUCGGUGGAGCCAAUGGUUUCU